UGCCCUGGCAGUCAGAGGCGAUGAAGGACGUGCUAAUCUGCGAUAAGCGUCGGUGAGGUGAUAUGAACCGUUAUAACCGGCGAUUUCCGAAUGGGGAAACCCAGUGUGUUUCGACACACUAUCAUUAACUGAAUCCAUAGGUUAAUGAGGCGAACCGGGGGAACUGAAACAUCUAAGUACCCCGAGGAAAAGAAAUCAACCGAGAUUCCCCCAGUAGCGGCGAGCGAACGGGGAGGAGCCCAGAGCCUGAAUCAGUGUGUGUGUUAGUGGAAGCGUCUGGAAAGGCGCGCGAUACAGGGUGACAGCCCCGUACACAAAAAUGCACAUAUUGUGAGCUCGAUGAGUAGGGCGGGACACGUGGUAUCCUGUCUGAAUAUGGGGGGACCAUCCUCCAAGGCUAAAUACUCCUGACUGACCGAUAGUGAACCAGUACCGUGAGGGAAAGGCGAAAAGAACCCCGGCGAGGGGAGUGAAAAAGAACCUGAAACCGUGUACGUACAAGCAGUGGGAGCCUCUUAAUGGGGUGACUGCGUACCUUUUGUAUAAUGGGUCAGCGACUUAUAUUCUGUAGCAAGGUUAACCGAAUAGGGGAGCCGAAGGGAAACCGAGUCUUAACUGGGCGUUAAGUUGCAGGGUAUAGACCCGAAACCCGGUGAUCUAGCCAUGGGCAGGUUGAAGGUUGGGUAACACUAACUGGAGGACCGAACCGACUAAUGUUGAAAAAUUAGCGGAUGACUUGUGGCUGGGGGUGAAAGGCCAAUCAAACCGGGAGAUAGCUGGUUCUCCCCGAAAGCUAUUUAGGUAGCGCCUCGUGAAUUCAUCUCCGGGGGUAGAGCACUGUUUCGGCAAGGGGGUCAUCCCGACUUACCAACCCGAUGCAAACUGCGAAUACCGGAGAAUGUUAUCACGGGAGACACACGGCGGGUGCUAACGUCCGUCGUGAAGAGGGAAACAACCCAGACCGCCAGCUAAGGUCCCAAAGUCAUGGUUAAGUGGGAAACGAUGUGGGAAGGCCCAGACAGCCAGGAUGUUGGCUUAGAAGCAGCCAUCAUUUAAAGAAAGCGUAAUAGCUCACUGGUCGAGUCGGCCUGCGCGGAAGAUGUAACGGGGCUAAACCAUGCACCGAAGCUGCGGCAGCGACACUAUGUGUUGUUGGGUAGGGGAGCGUUCUGUAAGCCUGUGAAGGUGGCCUGUGAGGGUUGCUGGAGGUAUCAGAAGUGCGAAUGCUGACAUAAGUAACGAUAAAGCGGGUGAAAAGCCCGCUCGCCGGAAGACCAAGGGUUCCUGUCCAACGUUAAUCGGGGCAGGGUGAGUCGACCCCUAAGGCGAGGCCGAAAGGCGUAGUCGAUGGGAAACAGGUUAAUAUUCCUGUACUUGGUGUUACUGCGAAGGGGGGACGGAGAAGGCUAUGUUGGCCGGGCGACGGUUGUCCCGGUUUAAGCGUGUAGGCUGGUUUUCCAGGCAAAUCCGGAAAAUCAAGGCUGAGGCGUGAUGACGAGGCACUACGGUGCUGAAGCGACAAAUGCCCUGCUUCCAGGAAAAGCCUCUAAGCAUCAGGUAACAUCAAAUCGUACCCCAAACCGACACAGGUGGUCAGGUAGAGAAUACCAAGGCGCUUGAGAGAACUCGGGUGAAGGAACUAGGCAAAAUGGUGCCGUAACUUCGGGAGAAGGCACGCUGAUAUGUAGGUGAAGCGACUUGCUCGUGGAGCUGAAAUCAGUCGAAGAUACCAGCUGGCUGCAACUGUUUAUUAAAAACACAGCACUGUGCAAACACGAAAGUGGACGUAUACGGUGUGACGCCUGCCCGGUGCCGGAAGGUUAAUUGAUGGGGUUAGCGGUAACGCGAAGCUCUUGAUCGAAGCCCCGGUAAACGGCGGCCGUAACUAUAACGGUCCUAAGGUAGCGAAAUUCCUUGUCGGGUAAGUUCCGACCUGCACGAAUGGCGUAAUGAUGGCCAGGCUGUCUCCACCCGAGACUCAGUGAAAUUGAACUCGCUGUGAAGAUGCAGUGUACCCGCGGCAAGACGGAAAGACCCCGUGAACCUUUACUAUAGCUUGACACUGAACAUUGAGCCUUGAUGUGUAGGAUAGGUGGGAGGCUUUGAAGUGUGGACGCCAGUCUGCAUGGAGCCGACCUUGAAAUACCACCCUUUAAUGUUUGAUGUUCUAACGUGGGCCCCUUACCGGGGUUGCGGACAGUGUCUGGUGGGUAGUUUGACUGGGGCGGUCUCCUCCUAAAGAGUAACGGAGGAGCACGAAGGUUGGCUAAUCCUGGUCGGACAUCAGGAGGUUAGUGCAAUGGCAUAAGCCAGCUUGACUGCGAGCGUGACGGCGCGAGCAGGUGCGAAAGCAGGUCAUAGUGAUCCGGUGGUUCUGAAUGGAAGGGCCAUCGCUCAACGGAUAAAAGGUACUCCGGGGAUAACAGGCUGAUACCGCCCAAGAGUUCAUAUCGACGGCGGUGUUUGGCACCUCGAUGUCGGCUCAUCACAUCCUGGGGCUGAAGUAGGUCCCAAGGGUAUGGCUGUUCGCCAUUUAAAGUGGUACGCGAGCUGGGUUUAGAACGUCGUGAGACAGUUCGGUCCCUAUCUGCCGUGGGCGCUGGAGAACUGAGGGGGGCUGCUCCUAGUACGAGAGGACCGGAGUGGACGCAUCACUGGUGUUCGGGUUGUCAUGCCAAUGGCACUGCCCGGUAGCUAAAUGCGGAAGAGAUAAGUGCUGAAAGCAUCUAAGCACGAAACUUGCCCCGAGAUGAGUUCUCCCUGACUCCUUGAGAGUCCUGAAGGAACGUUGAAGACGACGACGUUGAUAGGCCGGGUGUGUAAGCGCAGCGAUGCGUUGAGCUAACCGGUACUAAUGAACCGUGAGGCUUAACCUU
rnacentral:rRNA from 1 species